CAGAUCACCGAGGAGCCACCCGCAAGGUCGGCCAUGGCGCAACCGAGCAGAGCAGGUGAGGAGGGAGACGCGGGUUCCUCUUUCCCGCUGCUUGCUUCGUCGCCGGCGCGGCUCCGAUGGACUCUGGCGGCUCCUCUCUGUCUCCUUCCUCGCCCCCACACGCGGCUCCACUUCCCGCUGGCCAUGGGGCUGGCCGGCAGCAACGCCACCAUCCCUGCCGCUGCCAGUCCCUGCGCCGCCGACGGGUCCAUAGGCAGAGGCGUCGUUCUUGGUGGUUGAGCCGCUGAUGCAGAAGAUUCAUGGAGAGAUUUGUUGGGUGGACGCCGACAUCCUUGCCGCCGUCCGGUUGCAGGGUAGUGCUUACAAAAAGAGGCAAGCUGAAGAGGAAGGUUGGAAGAAGGAGAGUUAUGAUUGCCUCUUCCUCCUGUUGCUAAGGCAAAAGGACCAAGUGCGGGCGGGUGAGCAUCAGGAGUCCAGUUGAUUGGCUUCGGCCUUUGAGUUGCUGCUGGCUAGCGGUGCUGCUUCUGAGCGUCUCCUCACCCCUCACUCAUGUGGCCCCUUCAACUGGUGGCACUUUUGCUUGUGUCUUGUUAUCUUUUCGAAAUGGUGAAGCUGACAAUGAUAGCCUGUAUCACUGAUGGCCUUUCAUUUGCGGAGUGCUUAGAUGGUGGUUAUGUUAAGGAUGUUGUCUUCUACAAGCAGCAAGCAAAAUUAGUCACCUUGCCUCUCUUGCACUUAACAUUGUCUAAUUAGACUUUUCAAAAUGAUUAUCCAGGACUGCUUGGCCUCUCGUUUUGAUUAGCCUAUCAUUAAAGUUGGAAACACCAGAAUUGACGCUUGCGUAUGAGUAGAGAGGUCCAGGACGAUCUGAGACACAUGGGUUUCCUGUUCUCAACUUCUCAUGUUUGAUUUUAAUUCUUUUGCUUUUUGGUUAACCAGAGCUCAGAAUCAAGAUUAAGAAAGUAGUUGAGCACAAAGCAAACAAGGUGAUGUUUGCCCAUAGAUGCCUGGUGAUGAUCAUUUCCUGAAGAGUACAAUGCUGGGUGGAUAUUCUUCUACCUUAGCAGAUGAGAUCGAUGGUAUUUCAAGUGGACAAGAUGAGACACUGACGGGAAAAGAAGCUUUGCCCUCCGAACAGGAAGCCUAGGCUCUAGACUGGGUAUCUCUUAAAAUUUUUCAAAGACUGGAAGAAGUAUCCCGAGGAGGAAGACAGGAUCCUGGGUGGAAAAUUGGUGAAAGUGUGUACGAUUAUGGGAAAUGGAUGCCACCUGCUACCAGCUGCGCCCUGAGGUGUGUUUCUUUGCAGGUAUCUGAUUAGGUCAAAAUCGAUAGGAACUUUGUGUACGCUGAGUACUCUCUUUUGGCUGGCAUAGUGAAUGAGAACAGAUCAAAAUUAGCGGACCAAGCUAUAUGUGCUAUCCUUUUACUGGUGUACGGAGAACAUAUCCAGCAUGUAUUUGGGUGUAUGAACUGUUGUAUCGAUGAUGUCGAGUCGCUGUGCGUACAUGUCAUAGCUUCAUAUGCAUAUAUAAAUUGUUGUA